UGCCAGGUGGUGUCAAAGUAGCACGACGGUUUGUUAAACCGCACGGUGUUGGUGCGAGUCCAACCCUGGCAGCCA
rnacentral:tRNA from 1 species